GAUGAAGAACGCAGCGAAAUGCGAUAAGUAAUGUGAAUUGCAGAAUUCCGUGAAUCAUCGAAUCUUUGAACGCACAUUGUGCCCCCUGGUAUUCCGGGGGGCAUGCCUGUCCGAGCGUCAUUGCAACCCUCAAGCCCCCGGCUUGUGUUGGGGACCUGCGGCUGCCGCAGGCCCUGAAAAGCAGUGGCGGGCUCGCUGUCACACCGAGCGUAGUAGCAUACAUCUCGCUCUGGGCGUGCUGCGGGUUCCGGCCGUUAAACCACCUUCAUAACCCAAGGUUGACCUCGGAUCAGGUAGGAAGACCCGCUGAACUUAAGCAUAUCAAUAAGCGGAGGA
rnacentral:misc_RNA from 1 species